rnacentral:rRNA from 1 species
GACGAACGCUGGCGGCGUGCUUAACACAUGCAAGUCGAACGGUGAAGCUCCAGCUUGCUGGAGUGGAUCAGUGGCGAACGGGUGAGUAACACGUGAGCAACCUGCCCCUGACUCUGGAAUAAGCGCUGGAAACGGCGUCUAAUACUGGAUACGAGAAGGGCCCGCAUGGGCACUUUCUGGAAAGUUCUUCGGUUGGGGAUGGUCUCGCGGCCUAUCAGCUUGUUGGUGAGGUAAUGGCUCACCAAGGCGACGACGGGUAGCCGGCCUGAGAGGGCGACCGGCCACACUGGGACUGAGACACGGCCCAGACUCCUACGGGAGGCAGCAGUGGGGAAUAUUGCACAAUGGGCGAAAGCCUGAUGCAGCGACGCCGCGUGAGGGAUGACGGCCUUCGGGUUGUAAACCUCUUUCAGCAGGGAAGAAGCGAAAGUGACGGUACCUGCAGAAGAAGCACCGGCUAACUACGUG